AUUGAACGCUGGCGGAAUGCUUUACACAUGCAAGUCGAGCGGCAGCACGGGGGCAACCCUGGUGGCGAGCGGCGAACGGGUGAGUAAUACAUCGGAACAUGCCCAGUCGUGGGGGAUAACACUUCGAAAGAAGUGCUAAUACCGCAUACGUCCUGAGGGGGAAAGCGGGGGAUCGCAAGACAUCGCGCGAUUGGAGUGGCCGAUGUCAGAUUAGCUAGUUGGUGGGGUAAAGGCCUACCAAGGCAACGAUCUGUAGCUGGUCUGAGAGGAUGAUCAGCCACACUGGGACUGAGCCACGGCCCAGCCUCCUACGGGAGGCAGCAGUGGGGAAUUUUGGACAAUGGGGGCAACCCUGAUCCAGCCAUUCCGCGUGAGUGAAGAAGGCCUUCGGGUUGUAAAGCUCUUUCGGCAGGAACGAAACGGUGAGCUCUAACAUAGCUUGCUAAUGACGGUACCUGAAGAAGAAGCACCGGCUAACUACGG
rnacentral:rRNA from 1 species